GUUUCGCUCCAUUUUAAGUCGCCUGCGAAACUAUACUCUUUUCACUGAAAUUAUUAUUUGGAAAUAUCUCUCUCUAUACCCAUCGACUCUCUCUGUCCAAACCCUAUCCCCAUUGAAUCUGCCUCCAAGCUCUAUCACCGUCGUAAGCACUUCGUCUCUGUCACCGUUGUAAGCACUCGGUUUCUCUCGCCCGAUAUUUCUUCGUCUGUCGCCGUCAACCGGAAACCGGAAGAGGUCAGAAAAAUGAGAUGAUUUUCAUGAGGCAGAUUGUUGCUUUGAAUGUGCUAGAGGAGUAGCAUAUUUGGUGCAAUAAGCUUAUACUUGCUGGACUGAUGUUUGGAUCUAUGGAUACGAAAAGAGAAAGAAGAAUGAGGAUGAUGAAGUUGAGGAUCCAGAUUUAGUGAAAGAAGUGAAAAAGUACAGAAAAGAACAAGGUCCACAGAAAUGUUCUAUUAAAGAGGAUGCUGUAGCAAAAGUAUUCGGUCCUGCUGUAGCGUUGCAUCUUUGAGGUUUUUCUCAAAGGGUCAAAGAAUGCUCAUGAAUAUUGUCUACUGCUAAAGGACAUUGUUUUAGCAUAGGUUCAUGUUAGAGACUUAUUUUUUUUGUUUUCUUCACUAGUGAAUGGAUUCGAGGCAGUGAAAAUGUAACAUCCCGACCCAAAAUUUAAGACUAUUCACUAAUGAAUUAAAUUAAAAAAUGGAAUUUCCAAUUUUGCCCUUGAAGUGGGGGCAAAAAGGUCAAUUUUUAUCCGGAGAGAGUGUGGAGCAACGGGUGAUAUUUUUAGGAAGGUUGUACUGAGCCGAGUACGUAGACAUGCAGUAGGCUCGAUUCGGACUUGAAACGAAGAAGAUACGAUUGAAAAAUCAUUGAUGACCUAAUUGAAAUUAUUUCAAAAUUAUUUUGAUUAAAAUCAGAUUUUCAUUUUCAUUUUCUCAUUUCUCUCUCUCUCACCCGACUUCUCUCUCUCUCACGCGAAACCCUCCCCCGACACUGUUCACCGACGGCUAUUUUGGCCAGCCGCCGCUACGUCCGGCCACCUCUGGCGACAAGACCAGUUGCGUUAGAACCGUCGUCUCGAGCUCUCUCCGUUUCGCCCCAUCUCCGACGCCGGUAGCAACGAGAACCACCGGAAAUUGCAGAAAAGUCGCCAGAAAUUUCAGAAAAUUUCCAAGUCUUCGUUCUCCUUCAAAUCUCCACCGAUUCCGACGAGUGAGGUAUGGUUUCUCGACUGUUUUUCGUGCUCCAGUUGCCUGUUGGAUAGGUUUCCCAGAAUUUUUGAGAGGUUAUAGAUCAAAUUUCGAAAUUAGGUUUCAGCCGAUUUUCAGUCUGAAUUUUCGGCCACUUAUGGCCACUUUUUGGCCAUUGCCCAAGAACAAAAGUGACUCUAAAUUAAGGGUAUUACCUAGGUUAGGAGUUUGGAGCCAAGAUUCUAAGUUUUUCCGGUCACCUGAACAGUGACCAAGCCACCCACGCGCGGCAGCGGUCACAUUUUAUCCUAAACACAGAUAUCCCGCAUUCCGCAGAUGCCGGGCCCACUUACUAAGAAUCGAGACUUCUACCAAAAUUUUGGCAGUCUAUAAACAGGACAUAUUCCAAAUAUUUCAACCUGUCAAAAACACAGAUAUUUACAACCCAACAGCUAGCAUGCAUUACACAAAGUAUAGUGUUACAAACCAUGGCCUCCGGCCUUAAAAAUUACAUCCUAACAGGGCGAUAACAGAGCAAGUCUAACAGAAUUCAACAAACCAUCAAAAAUAAAGUUUUACGAAUUUACAGAGUAUAGAACUCUACGAAGGCUGGGUGUACUGAAGCUCGCGAUUCGGGAGCACACGACACAGCUCGGCUGCUCGUUCCAGUCAACUACUGGCUGUGGGGUGCAAAACAGAAAAUUGUGAGUGGACAAAACAAAAUUUAGUUCAAUUUAAACCAAAGUAAUAAAACCCCACUGUUAGAAAACCAUGCAUGAAACCAAUGCAUUAAAUCCACCAUAUUCAUGUAUAUAUAUAUAUAUAGUUUGCUCAAACCCGAGCUGAAUCCGAAAUCCAGUGAAACUAUAAACCCAUCCAAACAUUUCCUUACAAAUCUCAAAUUAAACUCUAGAAACAUGUGCCCACCGGCAAGACGAGCGGGGAAGUAUCCUCGCUCAAAAACAAGAACAAAUGCAUAGCUAUAUAUAUAACAUAAGAGAUAUAAUAUAAGUAUAUGACACACCUAAUUGUACCAGGGAAACAAUCCAACAGGGGAUUGUUGACUAGCUCACACUUAUCCCGCCUCAAACAUCCAUGUGGCUAGGGAUGAGUUGUUCAAUUGGGGGACUAAUACUCUAACCCAGCACGUACGGACGAAGAAUUAAGACCCGUACGCCUGGAACCGUCCUACACGCGCAGACUACCCAAUUAAGGGUCUACAGCGAUACCCCGUUAAGGUAUGCCCUGGGUUCCAACAUUUCCAAGUAUCUCACAAUCCAGAUCAGGGGAGGUACACAGGGUAGUGCUUAUAGCACUCCAAACUGACUUUCUACUCUCGCAUUUUUUCCAUGCCUUUCAACCAAUCCCAAGUACCCCCACAUAAACUCAACAUAAAGUACUUUCCCAAAUAGUAUGCAAAUAUAAUUCUAGAUACUUGAAUAUGUCUAAAACUCAAACAUAACACCCAUACUUUAUAAAAAUAUUAGUUUCGAAUAAUAAGUAUAAAGUAAAUUUCCAUAAACCCUUAAAUUCUUAUGCAUAGAAAUUUCAUCAUAAAAUUCAUGCAAUUUAUUGAAAACAAAGUCCACUCACAAAUAAUCCCAAGCUGCGUGACCCUGAGAGGGUCCUGCCUGCUGUGACGGAGGUGUCAGAUUACCUAUUUCAGAAUACGAGCACGAUAUUAAAAUCCAAUGCUUCAAAAGAAGACUUUAAAUUAACAUCCUAAUUUCCCGGAUUUCCCUUAAGUACGAGGAACGAGACGUUCCUAAGGUUCAAUAUAAGGGUUUCAAGCGCUGGAAAAGUCUCGGAAGACACUCGGUCAACUGGACGGUCAACACUUUAAGUUGAUGAAUCGGAACAUCCGGGGCUCCGAUUCACGAUCCGUGAAUUCCUAUAUGAUCCUAGUAAUAUCAGGAAUAACAUACGUGAAAUUGGGUUUGAUUCAACGGUCCAAAUAUAUCAAACCCGAAAAUCACAGAAUAUGUCUAAUUCGUUCGAGGCCCAAACGAUAUCCAAAUUGAGAUCCGUAAACUCCUAUACGCUCGUGACAACACAAGGAUCAUUUUAGGAUAAAAUGUGACCUCUGCCGGACUGUCCA